UGCAGGCUGCAACUCGCCUGCAUGAAGUCGGAAUUGCUAGUAAUCGCGGAUCAGCAUGCCGCGGUGAAUACGUUCUCGGGCCUUGUACACACCGCCCGUCACACCAUGGGAGUCGGUAACACCCGAAGUCUGUAGCCUGACGCAAGAGGGCGCAGCCGAAGGUGGGAUUGAUGACUGGGGUGAAGUCGUAACAAGGUACC
rnacentral:rRNA from 1 species